rnacentral:rRNA from 1 species
AACGAACGCUGGCGGCAUGCCUAACACAUGCAAGUCGAACGCCUGUAGCAAUACAGGAGUGGCAGACGGGUGAGUAACGCGUGGGAAUUUGCCUUUUGGUGGGGAAUAACGCAGGGAAACUUGCGCUAAUACCGCAUAAGCCCGUGAGGGGAAAGAUUUAUCGCCAAAAGAUAAGCCCGCGUCUGAUUAGCUAGUUGGUGAGGUAAUGGCUCACCAAGGCGACGAUCAGUAGCUGGUCUGAGAGGAUGACCAGCCACACUGGGACUGAGACACGGCCCAGACUCCUACGGGAGGCUGCAGUGGGGAAUAUUGGACAAUGGGCGCAAGCCUGAUCCAGCCAUGCCGCGUGAGUGAUGAAGGCCUUAGGGUUGUAAAGCUCUUUUGUGUGGGAAGAUAAUGACUGUACCACAAGAAUAAGUCCCGGCUAACUUCGUGCCAGCCGCCGCAGUAA